CAUGUCCUUUUGAUAAUAAUUUAAGGUCUGAUCUGCUCAAUGAUAUUUAAAUUGCCGCAGUAUUUUGACUGUGCAAAGGUAGCAUAAUAAUUAGUUUCUUGAUUAGGAACUGGAAUGAAUGAUUGGACAAGAAAAUUUCUGUCUCUUUUUUAAUUUUUUUGAAUUUUAUUUUUAAGUGAAAAAGCUUAAAUUUUUAUAAAAGACGAGAAGACCCUAUAGAGUUUAAUAUUUUUAUUUAAUUUAAUGUUAGAAUUAUCUUUUAGAUAAAUUUAUUUAGUUGGGGUGAUUUAAAGAUUAAUAAAAUUCUUUAAAAGUUUAAUUGAUGAUUUUUAAAUUUUAAAUCUAUAGUUUAUAAAACUAAAAUUAAUUACCUUAGGGAUAACAGCGUAAUUUUUCUUAAAAGUUCAUAUUAAAAGGAAAGUUUGCGACCUCGAUGUUGGAUUAAAAUAAAUUUUUGGUGCAAUAACUUAAAAAUUAGGUCUGUUCGACCUUUAAAAUUUUACAUGAUCUGAGUUUAAACCGGUGUAAACCAGGUUGGAUUCUAUCUUUAGAAAGUUAAUAUAUUUUAGUACGAAAGGACCAAAUAUAUGUUAAAUUAAUUG
rnacentral:rRNA from 2 species